GCUGAGUCCCUUUUUGUUUUGUACUAAGAAAGAAACGAAGAAAGAAAGAAAGAAAGAAAGAAAGAAAGAAAGAAAGAAAGAAAGAAAGAAAGAUGAGUUUCCCAUUGCUUUUUUUCAUUCUCCUGAGCUUCUCUCCUGGUACGUAUUCCACUCUACAGAUAAUUGAGUCUGGUCCAGGACUGGUGAAGCCCGGAGACUCCUUCAAGCUGACCUGUGCAGUUUCUGGGGUUCAAGUUGGUGAUUAUUAUUGGAAUUGGAUCCGGCAGCCUCCAGGGAAGGGUCUGAAAUGGAUGGGGGAUAUUGAGGACACGGAUGAUGGUGCUGGCACUACAUACAGCCCAACAUUUGGAAGUCGAAUCAGCAUCACCAGGGACACCUCCAAAAAUGAAGUAUAUCUUCAGUUGAGGUCCCUGGAAACUGCAGACACAGCAGUAUACUACUGUGCGCGGCACAGAGGUUAUCAGCUUUGUUCCUAUGUGAAAAAAUCUACCGUUCACCUACAAGAUCUAAUUGAGGAGGAAAAUAAUCUGAACAUGACUGAAGUUUGUGCACAGGAAUGUAGCACGGUGCGACAGUAUGGAGGCUACCACAGUAACAAACACCAUGCCAAAAACUCUGACCAAUCAAACAUCCUGUAG